rnacentral:rRNA from 1 species
AGCGAACGCUGGCGGCAGGCCUAACACAUGCAAGUCGAACGCCCCUUCGGGGGAGUGGCGGACGGGUGAGUAACGCGUGGGAACGUGCCCUUUGGUACGGAACAACUGAGGGAAACUUCAGCUAAUACCGUAUGUGCCCUUCGGGGAAGGAUUUAUCGCCAUUGGAGCGGCCCGCGUUGGAUUAGCUAGUUGGUGGGGUAAAGGCCCACCAAGGCAACGAUCCAUAGCUGGUCUGAGAGGAUGAUCAGCCACACUGGGACUGAGACACGGCCCAGACUCCUACGGGAGGCAGCAGUGGGGAAUCUUGCGCAA